UCCCCGUUCACCGGGGCAGUCCCCUCAGAGUGCCCGGCAUAACCCGGUAGCAACAGAGGGCAAGGGUUGCGCUCGUUGCGGGACUUAACCCAACAUCUCACGACACGAGCUGACGACAGCCAUGCAGCACCUGUGUACAAGCCCCGAAGGGAGGGCGACUUUCAUCACCUGUCCUGUACAUGUCAAACCCAGGUAAGGUUCUUCGCGUUGCGUCGAAUUAAACCACAUGCUCCACCGCUUGUGCGGGCCCCCGUCAAUUCCUUUGAGUUUCAGCCUUGCGGCCGUACUCCCCAGGCGGGGCACUUAAUGCGUUAGCGCCGGCACCCAGGGGGUCGCUCCCCCAGGCACCUAGUGCCCAUCGUUUACGGCGUGGACUAC
rnacentral:misc_RNA from 1 species